rnacentral:rRNA from 1 species
UACGGAGGGGGCUAGCGUUGUUCGGAUUUACUGGGCGUAAAGCGCGCGUAGGCGGCUUGGAAAGUUGGGAGUGAAAGCCCGGGGCUCAACCCCGGAACUGCUCUCAAAACUUCCAAGCUAGAGAUCUGGAGAGGAGGGUGGAAUUCCAAGUGUAGAGGUGAAAUUCGUAGAUAUUUGGAAGAACACCAGUGGCGAAGGCGACUCUCUGGCCAGAUACUGACGAUGAGGUGCGAAAGCGUGGGGAGCAAACAGG